UAUUAAAAAUUUCAUCAUUUGUUACUAUUAAAAAUUGUUGUGGCUGACAGAAAAAUUAGAUAGUUACAUGUGGCAUACCACGCGUACCUCAUUAUGACAUGCAAAGAUUAAUUUUUAACUAUAGAAAUAGAUGAGAUUUUUAACA
rfam:Gossypium arboreum cultivar AKA8401 contig_6574_9, whole genome shotgun sequence.